UACGUAGGGGGCAAGCGUUGUCCGGAUUUAUUGGGCGUAAAGAGCGUGUAGGCGGUUCGGUAGGUCCGUUGUGAAAACUCGAGGCUCAACCUCGAGACGCCGAUGGAAACCCUCGAACUAGAGUCCGGAAGAGGAGAGUGGAAUUCCUGGUGUAGCGGUGAAAUGCGCAGAUAUCAGGAAGAACACCCGUGGCUAAGGCGGCUCUCUAGUACGGUGCUGACACUGAGGCACGAAAGCUGGGGGAGCAAACAGG
rnacentral:rRNA from 1 species